rnacentral:rRNA from 1 species
UUGAACGCUGGCGGCAGGCCUAACACAUGCAAGUCGAACGGUAACAGGAAGAAGCUUGCUUCUUUGCUGACGAGUGGCGGACGGGCGAGUAAUGUCUGGGAAACUGCCUGAUGGAGGGGGAUAACUACUGGAAACGGUAGCUAAUACCGCAUAACGUCGCAAGACCAAAGAGGGGGACCUUCGGGCCUCUUGCCAUCGGAUGUGCCCAGAUGGGAUUAGCUAGUAGGUGGGGUAACGGCUCACCUAGGCGACGAUCCCUAGCUGGUCUGAGAGGAUGACCAGCCACACUGGAACUGAGACACGGUCCAGACUCCUACGGGAGGCAGCAGUGGGGAAUAUUGCACAAUGGGCGCAAGCCUGAUGCAGCCAUGCCGCGUGUAUGAAGAAGGCCUUCGGGUUGUAAAGUACUUUCAGCGGGGAGGAAGGGAGUAAAGUUAAUACCUUUGCUCAUUGACGUUACCCGCAGAAGAAGCACCGGCUAACUCCGUG